rnacentral:lncRNA from 1 species
UUGCCCACUCUCUUUUGACACAACUAGUGUCCUCCUUUGUAAGUCCAUGUUCAGAUGGCAAUCCCUAUGUAGCCGAACUACGGAAACUCUGAUUCUCAUGUUCAGAUGAGAUACGUAGGCACAAGAUGCGAGGUCUUGCCGAGUUAGACUGACAACUAACAACUAAUCUUUGUUUGUUUUCGCCCUCGUUGCGAUCGAGACUUUCCCUUUCUCUUGCCCUAGUUGCAAUCGAGACUUUUGUUCCCGUUAGUUAGCCGAACUACGGUUUGCUCGGAUUCUCAUUCCAGAUGAGAUACGUAGGCAUAAGACGCGAUGUCUUAGCGAGCACACUCCUCUUUAACCCAUAGGUAGCCGAACUACGGCAACUCUGAUUCUCAUGUUCAGAUGAGAUACGUAGGCACAAGAUGUGAUGUCUUGCCGAGUUUGACUAACAACUAACAACUAAUCCUUGUUUGCUUUCGCCCUCGUUGCGAUCCUUUCUCUCGCCCUCGUUGCGAUCGAGACUUUCCUUUUUCUCUUGCCCU